AGACAACAACAACAGAGACUGU
rnacentral:sRNA from 1 species